rnacentral:rRNA from 1 species
GAUGAACGCUGGCGGCGUGCCUAACACAUGCAAGUCGAACGGGAAACCUUUGAUUGAAGCUUCGGCAGAUUUUGCUGGUGUCUAGUGGCGGACCGGGGAGAAACGCGUGGGUAUCCUGCGGUAUAAAGGGGGAAAACAGUCAGAAAUGGCUGCUAAUAGCGUAUCAGCGCACAGAGCUGUAUAACACAGGGUGAAGCAAUCAGGUGGUGUAAGAUGGACCCGCAUUGGAUUAGCUGGUUGGGGGGGUAACGGCCCACGAGGGGGACGAUCCAUAGCCGGCCUGUGAGAGAGAGCCGCCACCCUGGGGCUGAGACACGGCCCGGACUCCUACGGGAGGCAGCAAUGGGGAAUAUUGCACAGUGGGGGGAGUCCUGAUGCAGCGCCGUCGCGUAAGGGAAGAAGUAUCUCAGGAUGUAAACUUCUAUCAGCAGGGAAGAUAAUGACGGUACCUGACCAAGAAGCCCCGGCUAACUACGUG